UUACGGUCAAAUCACGCUGAAAACACCGGUUCUCGUUCGAUCACCGAAGUUAAGCAUCGUAGAGCCAGGUCAGUACUUAGAUGGGGACCGCUUGGGAACACCUGGUA